AACCAUUCUCACCUGCGGCUAGACCUGCGGAAGGAUCAUUACCGAGUUUACAACUCCCAAACCCCUGUGAACAUACCACUUGUUGCCUCGGCGGACCAGCCCGCUCCCGGUAAAACGGGACGGCCCGCCAGAGGACCCCUAAACUCUGUUUCUAUAUGUAACUUCUGAGUAAAACCAUAAAUAAAUCAAAACUUUUAACAACGGAUCU
rnacentral:misc_RNA from 1 species